CGCUUCCGCUUCCCUCCUCUCCCUCAGCUGGGCUGCGCGCGGAGAUGCGAGCCGCACGCUGGAGACCCAGAGUGUGACUUCAACAACAAUGAGCUGACUUCCGGCCCAGCCCUGCGUUCCACCUCUUGAGUGAUUUAAAAGAGGAAGCAAGAUGCCCCCCUGCCCGGCCGCGCUGGACAGAGUCUCCUCGGGCGUGGGUCAGCCCCGCGGCAGGAAGUCUCUCAUCCUCCUCACCCGGUUCACAUCCUGGGGCCCCCGAGGAUGAGCAGGAAGUGGGGAGUAUCUGGCUCGCCGCGUGGGGGCCCUUAGGUAAACAAGACACCGCUUUCUGAACGGCUCCGCGCAACCACCUCACACGGUCGUGUCCACGGCGACCAGUCAGGAAGGGUUCGGGAUAUUUAUGUUUUCUGAGUGCUGUUCUAGUCACUCCCUUCUUCCUGGUUGUUGGAAUCCCUGUGACCGGGAAUGCGAAAGGCCACUCGGGAGCUUCUCCCAGGAGGAAAGAGCCCACGGUAGCGCCUCCGCUCAAGACCAGAAAGGCUGCUGUGUUCAGCUUGGUGGUUUAGAUUGGGACGUCCCCUCCGUGUCUCGGUGCCCGCCAUUGUCAGAGGAAGGGGCUGCCAUUGCUAAGCGCCCCAGGCCAAGUGUUCUGAGUCAGUGGGCCGCUGAGCAGGCCACACAGAAGCCCUCUGGAGUCUGAGGGACUUUUCUUAACCUCUCGGUCUUCUUUGCCUUCCUCGCACGGUGCCUUGGCCCCGGGGAGCCAGGCCCUGGGACUUGGUACCGCGAGUCUCCAGCCGGCCAGCUGACCUUGUCCUCGGCGCCUCUUUCAGGGUCUUCCUCAGGGUGAUUGCCCUAGUCGCAGCCCUGGAGUCCCAGUGGAGGCCCUCGGACGGCACGUGCUGUGAACGCUUUGCUGUGUCCUCGGCCUUUUUGCUGACAUUUCUUGUAGCAAUUGUCAUUGCUAAAUGGCAGUGUCAACUGAGUCCAGACACGGGAAGAUCCUCGUCUCUGUCCCGUGGGGGAUCAAGUUCAAGUGAGUGUGCUGCUGGGGUCCAAGAGCUUCUGGUGAGUGGCCCGUCCCUUCCUCAACUCCUCCUACUAAUGGGCACCCAUGUUCCCAGGCAGAAUUCUUGUUCACUCAUCAGGUACAAGACCCAGACACCAAAAUAGCACUUGUGUCAGAAACUGGUACUGCUCGGUGGCUUCGGGGAUUUAUUUUUUUCGCUUGGCUCUACUUCCCUCCCGGCAUCUGUGGACGUGUGGAGGAUGUGACACAGGCUGGGUGGCUAGGUUCAGAAGCGAUCCAAACAUUACACAGAGAGACAAGAAUUUCAGAGGUGUUGCAGAGGACGGGCCGGCACCAUCGAUGUAGGGCAGACACAGGCCCCAAGUUUUGCAGGCGUCCAGCUUGUAUAGGACGCGGGGCCCAGAGGAACGACAUUCAACUCUAAAUGAAGAAUUUACAACACAACUUUGUACGUACGAAAGGAUGUCAUCGUUUAGCAGCUCUCUGCUAUGGCCUGGGAGAGUAGUAGAAGACGACCCAAAUCCUUGGGCCUCUGCACCCUGACUUCAGAUGAUUCCAGCUCUAGCCGUUGCAGCCAUUUGGGAGUGAACCAGUGGAUGGAAGACCUCUCUCUCUCUCUCUCUCUCUCUCUCUCUCUCUCUCUCUUUCUCUGCCUCUGUGUAACUCUGCCUUUCAAAUAAAUAAAUCUUUAAAACAAUUCAUUGCAUCUUAGAAAUUACAUAGAAAUGAAAACUCUGCAUUGUGUGACAGGCAAUGGACUACAUGCUUUACCCACAUGAACAAUUAAUAUUCUAAGGGACCGUAGACAGGGCGGCCUCACUGCAGAUGAGAGAACCAGAUCUCCAAGAGUGGCGGUCGCUUGGCCAAGGCCAUGAGAAGGGUAAGGGGAUGAGAACUGAAUUCUUUAUGAAACCUCAGGCCACAUGCUCAGUUACUAAGCAUGCUGAGUUUGUUGAAGAACAGCCUGUCACUGGAGCCGCACACACGGAGCAGGGGUUGAGGUUGUCCUGGCUAUGCAGGGCCUGGGGGGAACUUUGGGGAGCUAAGGAAAGGAGAGGGAGCUGCUGGUUCUGUGGGCUACACUCAUGGUCAUUUUCCUGCUUAGGUCUCAAAGCUCAGCCGCGACCCCUGCCAAUGGAUGCCCUGUCCCCCCGGACACCCCCCUCCCCAGGAGUGCACGUCCCUCCCUCUGCCCACCCUCUCUCAGGGUGCUUUUGGUGCACCAUCUUUCUCUUGGAGCCCGAGGGACUUCCCUGUUCUCUCGGAGCCCAGUCCAAGAGUCUCAUGCUGGUGUGCACACAAUGCCUGCCACUCCUAUUCUCGUCUUCCCUGUCCCAUCAGUUCCUCUCAAACGCCCUCCUCCUCCUCCUGCCCCCCAGGCUCCCACUGUUAACUUAUUCCAGUCUAUGCAUGUGCCUUCCCUGGCCAGCAGCAACCGGUACUCUGACAGCCACGGUGGAGGGUGACAAGGCAGCCUGGAGGCCAAUAGUUAGGACACAGCCUAGUGGGGGCCAGGUGUUGGCUUGUGAAACGGCCCUGUUGAAUGGCAGAGCCAUAGGGACAGUGCGGGGGGUGGUUAUUCACUCAAAUUCACUCAUACAUUCAAGUUUUUAAAAAUUGAAUUCCUGGUGUUGGGGACGGAGCCGUGCCUUGGAAAACUCAGAGCCCAAGGAGUGGAAGACUAUGAUGACAGAGGGUCAGUGCGGGCAGCCAUAGUCUGAGUGCUGUGAGUCUGUGUGUGUGUGAGUGUGUGUGUGAGAGUGUGUGUGUGGACAUGUGUGUGUGGGCUUGUGUGUGUGGGAGGGGAGGGGGGCCUGCAGGUGGAGGUGCAGCAGGUGCUAAUGCUGAGCGCAGGAGAGGGCAGGUGCUUCCACAAAUAUACACACAGCAGCGUGGCUGGGAUAGCCCAUGUGUGGGGAGGAAUGGUAAAAGCCACUCAUUCUGAUGGACUCGUCAGCCAUGACCCUAACCCAUGCUGCAGCUGAUCACUGAGGAGACAGAGGUAAGGAAACCAGUGAGGGCUGAGACCUGCCCUGGGGCCGGCAGGAGCAGGAGGUGUUACCAUCCCUGGAGCAGUUACUGAAAACUCUUAAGAAAUUCUAAGAAUGCUCUAGCUGCAGGUGUAGGAGUUGGGGACUUGGGUUAAAGCAACCAGUGCCUGCCACCCACAGCCCAGCAGGGAACUGCGGUGCAGGGUGAGGAAGAGAGGGCUGUGUGAUGGAGGGCUGCCUGGUGGCGGUGGUCUUAGGCAUGAGCAGUUGCCGCAGUGGGAACCAGCCCCAGGAGCAUGUUGCUUGGCUUGGGAAUGGUUCUGCUAGGGCCCUUGGGCUUGGCAGUGGAACGUUUUCCAUUUCUGUCCUUGUGAUCUUUUCAUCUUGCUAUUGACAUAUACUUUCCUUGACGGGAAUGGCUUAUGGCCACCUUCUAGGCUCCACGCAACUUCUAAAGGAAAAGUGCGGCCUCAUAUAUGAGUCAUCAUGCAGGAACUCUACGUUUGGUAGGACUCAUCUUUUUUAUAACAGGAAGUCAAUACAUGUUGCUAAGCUACUGUGUCCACCAAAAAAAACCAUAUAGUAGAUUCCAUUGUACUCUUGUGUUCUGUGAGAGUUGAUGAUUCCUCGAUGUUAAUCCAGGGCUUUUGUUCUUGACCUCCUUUGCCCAAAGUUAAUUAGAGUUUGGCCAUGGCAUACUUGGUGUAAACAAAAUAAAAAAGGCCUGAAUCAGAAUUUCCCAUGAGAAAACAGUCUUAAACUUUCUCAAAAGAACUUAAAAAGCUCUACUGGUCCAUGCUUUUAGCUUCCGCAUCUAUCAUCUAUCAUCUAUCUAUCUAUCUAUCUAUCUAUUAUCUAUAUCAUCCAUCUAUUCAAGGACCUUGCAAAUCUCUGAUUUAAUCUUACUGUUGCAAAGAAAAGAAAUACAAGGACUCCUCAAAAAGUUAAUGGAAGAUGCAUAUUAAGAAAAAUCUAUGCGUGGGGCCGGCACAGUGGCACACUUAGUUAAUCCUCUGCCUGCGGCACCAGCAUCCCAAUAUGGUGUCGGGUUCUAGUCUCAGUUACUCCUCUUCCAGUCCAGCUCUCUACUGUGGCCUGGGAAGGCAGCGGAGGAUGGCCCAAGUGCUUGGGCCCCUGCACUGUGUGGGAGACCAGGAGGAAGCAUCUGGCUCCUGGCUUCGGAUGGGCGUAGCUCCGUCCUUGGCAGCCAUUUUGGGGGGUGAACCAAUGGAAGGAAGACCUUUCUCUCUGUCUCUCUCUCUCACUGUCUAACUCCGUCAGAUUAAAAAAAAUAAAGAAAAGAAAAUCCAUGCAUGAAUUUCAAAAUCUUUUUGCAUCAAAAUAAACUUAUCUUUUCACUCCAUUUCUAAUGACAGUUUCAAAUCCCCUGUACACAGACUUCUCACAUAAGUGUUAAGAGUUGCAAGCUCCUUGUUUGGUCUACUGGGGUUGGGGCAUCUGUUAUCACCUCUGAAAAGAGAAAGGCAGUCAGAGACCAUUUGGAAGUGCAGUGUAACGAAAGAAGAACUAGGCCUCCAUUACACCAUUUCCCCAAGACAGAAAUUUCAAAUAAUGGACAUCACUGCCUGUAUCAGAGGCUGUGAACCUCAGUGGGGUCAUCUUGUCUUAAUAUUUAAUGUACAUGAACUCACUUGACAGAGUUGACAAUUAGGGUACCAUUCAAUCCAAGGUCCACAAGAAGGAGGGAUGGGUGCACUGGAACUGGCUCUUCCUGCAGCUGGAAUUUCUUACGUGCGCUCCGUGUCAACGCCUCACCCUGCGGAGUGCACUGACGGCAGCUUUUAUCCCCACACAGCAUUGUUUCCGAACGCAAGUCACUGUCCUCAUCUCAUCUCCGCGAGUAGCUCCAGCUUCAGGGUGAGAGCUGGCUGUGCUGAGCUUUCUGAGAGAUGAGCUGUCCAUCUCCAGGUGCUUCGCAGUUAGGGGCUUGCUCAUUUUAGCAGUGGUCAUAAGGAUUUGAGAGUGAAAAAAGGUAUUGUGAAGCUAGGGCAUCGAGUUCUAAACUGAUUCAGGAGGCAAGAAAUGUGUGUGAGACCUGAGCUGAGACUUGUACCUGGAGGACCUGGGCUGUAAGUAUGUGCCCAGGAAUUUUCCUAUGUGUUCCAACUUCCUGCCAAAGAUGCACAUUUCUGAUGAAAAGGAACUUCCAAAACUCAUUUUCCAUCUACGUGCUUUCACCAGUAUGCUAGCCUCUGACCCCAACACUCAUGGAAGCCAUAAUGGUUAGAUUCUGAGUUCCAACUCCAUUGACAAUUACCUUGUUAUUUCUGCUAAGCCUCAGUUUCCUCAAAUGUAAUAGUGGAUCUUACCUAAUAGGGUAGUUCUGCUGAUCAGAUGAGAUGAUCAAAUGAAAUGCACUGAGCACCUGCAUUUAAUAAGUAAUGCAAUCGAUGUUUACUCUGAUCACCCAGGAAGCAAAAGCAAGCCCAUGCCUUGGCUCCACGCCACUGAUUUGUGGGAAGAACAAAGGACUGGUUCUGUGCUCUAGAUGCAAAACAAUGGAAAUAUUUUAUUUAUUUAUUUUUUAAGUUUUGUGUUUUUUUGUAAAGAUUUAUUUAUCUAUUUGAAAAGCAGAGUUACAGAAAGAGUGAGGGGGAGAGAAAGAUCUUCCAUCUGUGGCUUCACUCCCCAAAUGGCUGCACUGGCCAGGACUGGGCCAGGCCAAAGCCAGGUCUUCCAUAUGGCUUAGGGUCCCAAGCACUUGGACCAUCCUCUGUUUUUUUCCCAGGUGCAUUAGCAGGGAGCUAGAUCAGAAGUGGAGCAGCCGUAUGGGUUGCUUGCAUCUCAGGCAGUGGCCUAACCCACUCUGCCACAAUGGCGGCCCCAGCGAAAAUAUUUCAAAAGCAUUUGUGUUUCCCUGUUACAUAUGUUGUGUUUUACAUUAAUAACUCCGAAACUAUUUAAAUAUGCACGUGGCAGAUUCAGGUGUUCACUCAGUGUAUCUGGUGUAUGUUGGGCAUCUGCUGUCUGCCAAGCCAGGUGCUGGGGAAGAAGAGACAAGAUACAGCCCUUGAGCCAUGGGAGGACACAGGUGCGAGCCAGUGCGGGCAGUGGAGUGAAAGGGGCACCUGGAAGAACUUUGGUGCAGAAAGUAGGGAGUGGGCCAGAAAGGGCUGCUGGCAUGAGCAGAGCAAGAGGUGGGAAAUGGCAGGGGUUACAGGCAGCUCUGAGAAAGCCAGGUCACCAGAAGGGUCAGGGUGAAUCCUGGAAUGGUGGGCAGAGAGGCUGGAAGGAGACGCUGACCUUUGGGUCCUUGUGUGCUCCCCCAGAGCCUUGGCUCUUCAGCCUGAAGCUCUCAGGGCACCGCUAUGAAUGUGUACCCGAGGACUCCAAAGACCUCAUGGCAAAUGGAAUUAAAAGGUAAAUUUAUUUUGAUGCAAAAAACUGAAAUCCGUGCAUAAUUUAUUCAUAAUACACAUUUUCUGUGUAUUUUUUAAGUUCCCUUAAAUACAUGAAUUUUGCAUCAAAAUAAACUUACCUUGCGACAGGCGUUGUGGUAUAGUGGGUAAAGCUUCAGUCUGUGACACCGGCAUCCCAUAUGGGCUCUGGUUUGUGUCCCAGCUGCUCCACCUCUGAUCCAGCUCCUUGCUAAUGGCCUGGGAAAGCAGCGGAAGUUGGCCCAAGCAUGAGACCUGGAUGUAGCUCCUGGUUCUUUUUUUUUUUUUUUUUUUUUUUUUUUUUUUUUUUUUUUGACAGGCAGAGUGGACAGUGAGAGAGAGAGACAGAGAGAAAGGUCUUCCUUCCAUUGGUUCACCCCCCAAAUGGCCGCUACGGUCGGAGCGCUGCGCCGAUCCGAAGCCAGGAGCCAGGUGCUUCCUCCUGGUCUCCCAUGCGGGUACAGGGCCCAAGCACUUGGGCCAUCCUCCACUGCCUUCCUGGGCUACGGCAGAGAGCUGGACUGGAAGAGAAGCAACCGGGACAGAAUCCAGCACCCCAACCGGGACUAGAACCGGCGCCGCAGGUGGAGGAUUAGCCAAGUGAGCCACGGCACUGGCCCAAAGCUCCUGGUUCUUGGCUUUAGCCUGGUCCAGCCCUGGCCAUUGCCCAUUGCAGCUGUCUGGGGAGUGAAUCAGCAGAUGGAAGAUUCCCCCCCCCCCCUUCUGUGUAACUCUUUCAAAAUAAAUCUUUUAAAAAAUGAACUUUUACUUCAUUUUCUAAGAGCAUUUUGAACUAGCAUCAGAUAUUGAUAAUUUUGUGUGGAGGAUGGGUUGGAGGUGGAGACCAGAUUCAGGGUAGAUGAGGUGGCUUCUGCAUCUGUUGGAACAAGGUCUGGAUGUGGGUGGUGCCCCUGGGAAGGAGCAGGAGGCAGGGGCACUGACAGAACUGUGGAGAGUGAGGGCGGGGAGGAGGCAGAGAGGAACCCCAGGUAGCUAGAUUGGUAGUGGAGUAUGCGGUGGAGCAUAAA